rnacentral:rRNA from 1 species
GACGAACGCUGGCGGCGUGCCUAAUACAUGCAAGUCGAGCGGAGUUAGUCCUUCGGGAAUAACUUAGCGGCGGACGGGUGAGUAACACGUAAGUAACCUGCCUAUAAGACUGGGAUAACAUUCGGAAACGAAUGCUAAUACCGGAUACACGGUUUGAUCGCAUGGUCGAAUCGGGAAAGACGGAGUAAUCUGUCACUUAGAGAUGGACUUGCGGCGCAUUAGCUAGUUGGUGGGGUAAUGGCUCACCAAGGCGACGAUGCGUAGCCGACCUGAGAGGGUGAUCGGCCACACUGGGACUGAGACACGGCCCAGACUCCUACGGGUGGCAG